rnacentral:rRNA from 1 species
GACGAACGCUGGCGGCGUGCUUAACACAUGCAAGUCGAACGGAAAGGCCCUGCUUUUGUGGGGUGCUCGAGUGGCGAACGGGUGAGUAACACGUGAGUAACCUGACCUUGACUUUGGGAUAACUUCAGGAAACUGGGGCUAAUACCGGAUAGGAGCUCCUGCUGCAUGGUGGGGGUUGGAAAGUUUCGGCGGUUGGGGAUGGACUCGCGGCUUAUCAGCUUGUUGGUGGGGUAGUGGCUUACCAAGGCUUUGACGGGUAGCCGGCCUGAGAGGGUGACCGGCCACAUUGGGACUGAGAUACGGCGCAGACUCCUACGGGAGGCAGCAGUGGGGAAUAUUGCACAAUGGGCGGAAGCCUGAUGCAGCAACGCCGCGUGCGGGAUGACGGCCUUCGGGUUGUAAACCGCUUUCGCCUGUGACGAAGCGUGAGUGACGGUAAUGGGUAAAGAAGCACCGGCUAACUACGUG